ACUAGGGAGCCUUGGUGGCUUAGGGUUUGCUCUCACUGCUACCUUCCCCCUCCACCUUUCUUCUCAUUUUCACUUCCAUCUCUCUCCUUUUACAAACAUGCACUUUUUCCCUUUACCUUACCGUGUGGUCUGAGUUGGUGCAUAUCUGUGUGCUGCCACAGUUUGUACACAGGCUGAGGAUGUGAAACAAGAUGGCCACUGAGUCCCAGUGACCUGAUGACCCAGGACGCAGAUGUGAAGGGGAGCCUGAUGCAUAAAACCAAGCUUUAGGCCAAAAGGGAAAGUCUGCCUGGAGGAAUUGCUGAGGACAUAACCUGCCUUGGGAGGCACGAGGACAGAAGCAUAGGCUGUGGCAGGGGGAACUUAGAAGGAAGCCUGAAUAAAGAGAGCCUGCAAACUUGCAAGGAGAGCAAGCUAAGUACUCUGUGCACUUUUCUGUUUUGUUUUCUAUGUGGAGUGUGCCACACAGGGGUGAGAUGAACCCCUGCGAGUUAUUGCUGUACCCAGAGACAGGCAUUGGCAUUUUGGGUCAUUUGCAUUUUUUGUUCCUGGAAGACUUGGUUGUGGCUGAAAGGGAGGCAUAGGCCAUGGAAAGAGGGUGCCUGGGGACACCCCAAAAUCAAAGCUUAGCUGAGCAGGUAAAGCAUAAAACCCGAGGUAUGAUUUGGGACUACUAGUGUUCAACGUGGUGAAUAUCAUGAGUUUUGGAGCUCAGGAGUCAUGAAGCCUGAGCAAAGCUGAAGCCAGGAGCUGGUGGCCCUGAAUAGUGGGCCCCAAGCUAGAAGGCUCCGAUAAAGAAAAAAUGAGUUGUGGCUGAGGAACUCUGGCCCAGACAUGGACCCAUUCCUUUAAGCAUGCCUUACCUUCCAGGCAGCCUCUCCUACUGAGUUUACAUCAAGAUGUAGCAGCCUAGAAGUCCAAGGCACAGAGAAGUGACUGAAAAGAUUGGUACAGGACCCCAAAACAGGUUCCUCUGCCUGGUAGGAGGUCUCAAUAUCUUGUGCGUCUCUGUAUUGCUCAUCAUGGUAAUAACUAAGGACCUCAUGGUCUCCAGAUUUAAAAAAAAUAUACUGCUCCCAGUGAGAAGAUGGUACUGGUUUAAUGCAGUGCAAAAAAAGAAUGCAACAACAGUUGUGAGGAAAGCCUCCUCCUCUUGCUGGAGAUAUAUUCACCACCAUCCUUCUGUAUUCCCGUGUUUGACAAGACUCUCUUCAGCCAACUAGAAGAUGGUAUUCUUAAAUCUAACUCCUUCCACUGCAUCAGCAGUCAUUUCCUCUUAGUUCUCCAUCUGGGAUUUUGAUAGUUUUGGUCUAAGAUGUAGCCUUGAAGUAAAACAUAGAUUAACUGGCUCAAGAAACAUGACUCUUUCCCUUUAAUAUUACUAUGAAUUCUAUGGCACCUUUAUUUUAUGGGUAUUAUUUUUCAAAGCUAAAACAAGUGUGCUAGUGGCAACCAGUUUAUUUCAGGAGAUGCUCCUGCUUGUGAAGAGGAAAGUGAACAAUUUUUCAUGGAGACCUUGUCAUUUGCCUAUUCUGAAGGUGUCUGCACUAAUCUAAAAUUAGUUCAGGCCCAGAAAUAUUAAAUGGCUUUUAUACCUAUAGUCACAAAAUGCCAUGGAUUUCCUUUCAGAGAACUAAAUGCAAUUUGAUUUGAUGUAGGGUAUGAACAUUGCUGUUUAUGUCAUGUUAUUAUGAAAGCACCUUUGGGAGGCUGUGUUCCAUAUUCACUUUUCACAAGAAAAAAAUCUUCCUUGGUUCAAGGGUAACUCAUGAUUUUCCUGUACUCUGAUUGAGGGUUAAGAUAAUUCCCUUACUACCCUUGAAAUAAACUCAGCGAAGUAGGUUAAUAUUAAGAUUUUAGAGUACCACUUGCACAUUACACUUGGCAGAAAACUUUUUAAAACCUGUGAUUGGCUGAAAAUCUUAAACUCUUCCAGUAAAAUACUAGUGAAAUAAUGUGCAGUGUACACUUUUGAAGCAGAAGGGAAUCAUCUUUUCAUUUGAAUAUUUGUAUUGUUGGACCUCCCAACCACUGGCUUAUGCUGGCAACAAGGCUAAAUUAAUCUGAAAAGUGCGGUAAAGAAGGGAGUCUGGUUUUAUUUUCAGUUUCGGUUAAGUAAGGUAUUCUUUAUUGUGCAUCCUCUAGUCCUGUGUUUUUGUAGGCUGUUUCUCUGUUUCAUCCCAAAGAUACCUGUAUUUUAGUGAAGGAUUCAUAAAUGCAUUAUUAUUAUUCACUAUUAAUUGGAGUUAACAUGCUAACUUUUUCUACACUUACUUCCUCUUUUAUUUACAUGACUACUUGAAGAAAAUUUAGGGGGAUCAGAUUUUGCAUGAAGGCAGAGCCCUGCACCAAGAACACAGCUAAAUGCAUAAUCCAAGCCUUUUCUAGUUAGCCUGCAGUGCUGGGAAAGAGUACAUAUUGUAUUACAGCCCCAGUAAGGCAUGACCCCAUGCUUUCCAUAGUGUCCCCUCCAUCUGUUAAACUUUUAACUCAAUUUAAUUAAACCAUGAAAUACAGUAUGGAGUUUUUUUCUUGCAUUCCUGAGGUGUGUUCAUGCAUUUUGUUUAGUGAUCUUCUAUUUAAUCUUUAGAUUUCAUCAUUAUUGCCAAAGCUUAACUCCAAGCCUCUCUCCACAAAUCCAACCUUAAUACAGUCUUGAGUAAAAAGUUGAGGUAUUUUUUCUAUAUUAUGUCCCAUAACAGAACUUGUCCUUAACAGAGAUCGUUGAGAAAAGCAUAAGGUUUCAAGCAUUCAAACAUUUGAAAAAAACUAGGGUUCUCGGAGCACUGAGACAGAAAUGUGAUUUCCUAGGAUUUUCUGUGGAUUUUGAACUUUUCAUAAAAACCUGGAAAAUUUUCAACAAAGAUAAAUCUUCUGAGGAUGGAUUUUGUUUUGUUCCUGUUAUUUUUGUAGGUUUUAUUCCUAACCCAGUAUUGUAAAUAUAGGCAGGCUGUGGGUUAGAACAAGCCACAUCCUUCACGUCUUCCAAACUUGUUUAUGCUAAUGCCUACACUGAAGAGUAACACUUUUUACAGGGAAAACUAAAAUAUUUAAAUAAAAAGAAAUAAGCUCUGUUCAAUAAUACCACUCAAACCACUGCUACCCUUGGUUCUCACUUUAUGGUAUGCACUUUGGUUUGAGUGCAUGCCUCCCAGAAGUGACUAGGGGCU